rnacentral:rRNA from 1 species
CCCGCUGAACUUAAGCAUAUCAAUAAGCGGAGGAAAAGAAACUAACAAGGAUUCCCCUAGUAACUGCGAGUGAACCGGGAAAAGCUCAAAUUUUGAAUCUGGCGGUCCUUCGGGCCGUCCGAGUUGUAAUCUAGAGAAGCGUCUUCCGCGCUGGACCGUGUAUAAGUUUCCUGGAAUGGAACGUCGUAGAGGGUGACAAUCCCGUCUUUGACACGGACUCCCAGGGCUUUGUGAUGCGCUCUCGACGAGUCGAGUUGUUUGGGAAUGCAGCUCAAAUAGGGUGGUAAAUUCCAUCUAAAGCUAAAUACAGGCGAGAGACCGAUAGCGAACAAGUACCGUGAGGGAAAGAUGAAAAGAACUUUGGAAAGAGAGUUAAACAGUACGUGAAAUCGCUGAAAGGGAAACGCUUGAUGUCAGUCGCAUCUGCUGGGACUCAGCCUUGCAUUUUUUGCUUGGUGCACUUUCCGGUUUGAUGGGCCAGCAUCGAUUUUGACCGUUGGAAAAAGGUAGAGGGAAUGUGGCACCUUCGGGUGUGUUAUAGACCUCUGUUGUAUACGACGGUUGGGAUCGAGGACCGCAGCACGCCUUUAUUGGCCGGGGUUCGCCCACGUACGUGCUUAGGAUGCUGGCGUAAUGGCUUUAAGCGACCCGUCUUGAAACACGG